UACAUUCAAGUGCACAGCAUAUGUACCGUGGCCUCUUCCAUGGGAAGAAGUCGUCUUUCGAUGGACAAUAACACGCAACGGGAAGAACGUUGUGAUUGAAGAUAGAGCGAGAGUUUGGGGUUCUGACAAAUGUUAUACUGAAGUAACUUCAUCCUAUAAACACUAUGUACAAUAUGAUGACUUUACUCAACGUUCAACCGUUUCUUGUACAGUAUUUAACCAGACACGUACAGAGAUAAUCGACCCCCGUAUAAUAAUUGCUAGCAGCGCUCCUUCCGGUAUAGCAUACACUAAAUGUAUUUUGGUCGUCAAUCUCAUUCUUCUGCUUCUGGUUGCUGCAAUUUCUCGAUAGUGUCAUCCUUUUUUGCACAAAGACGAUAACGAAGAUUCCUCUUCAUGUUAACUGACUUUGGUAUCGACCUGCGAUUUAAGUGAUGCUGACAACAUCCAUGGACCUUUUCCCGAUCAAAAUUCUACAAGAUCUUUAUUAAAUUUUCACUGCUAAUCUUACCUGUUAAUUGCAAUCCUUGUAAGUCACUAACUGUAGAAAUACUAACAGUAGUAACGUAAACAACUAACAAUAUUAACAAUUCCACAUUCGGAGUUAGAGUAUUAUAUACAGAGACAGUCUGAAUAGGUUUUUUCAGUUUCAUCAGGUUAAAGUGAACAUUUGUUAAGUUAACCAAAAGGUUAGAAGUAAAAUUAUUUUGUAAACUACAUCAAAAAUGUUUUGAUUUAAAAGUUAAGAAUUAUUGUUACAGGAUAUAUAUAAAUAGAUAAGGAUUGUAUAUUAUUUAACAAUUUUAUGUAUAAAAUCCGUGUGAAAUAAAUAAAAGCAAUUGAAAAAUCA